UGCAUUCGUAGAAUCCUAUAUAUAUAGAGGUCAGGUAGCAUUAUCCUUUUCUUAAUAAUCAAACAAGAAAAAGAAAAACAUAUCAUGGCCAAGAUCAGUAUGUUCCUAAGCUUCUUCUUGUUUGUCUUGAUUGUCAUGCCAACCUCUUCCUCUUCAAGCAGGAUGAUGCUUGAGGAGGUUGAAGCAGUAAAUAAGUGCCCAAAACCUAAUUGCUCUUUCGUUAAGUGCAAACCAUUUUCUUGCGUACAAGUUGUGCUUAAAUGUCCAAAUGGUCAAUACACGCCGUGCUGUAGCUGUCCAAAGUGCUGCCCUGUUUAGAUCGUAAUGUGUAUCUUUUGGUGCACAAAUUGUUUUCUCCUCUUUUUAUGAUGUAGCUUGCUGCCACAUAUUAUGUUUACAUGUUUUUGUUUUCUGUUCUAAGUUUCGGAAAUGAUUAAUCCACUGAGACUAAUCCACCAAAAUCAGCACCGUGUAAAAGGGGUGGAGGGCCCAAUUCUGCCCACACCUAUCCCAAUACAGAAAACGCUGAUCUAUAUCCAUUGGAUUUCUCUCGGUAUAAAUCACGAUACAUUAUUUGGGUGGGUGUAGAAUUGUUGUUUAAGUUUUGCAUAGCCUGCAUAAGUAUUGUAUAAAUGUACGUAUUCUGAUAUUUUCGGUGUUCUAUGGAUGAUGUAAUAAAAUCUAAGUAAAGUAUAUGCAAUUUUCUCAACUUAAAUAAAUGUAAUCAAAUGUAUACGGUUUUCUAUGUUGUUCCC